UAGGGAAUCUUCGGCAAUGGGGGGAACCCUGACCGAGCAACGCCGCGUGAGUGAAGAAGGUUUUCGGAUCGUAAAGCUCUGUUGUUAAGGAAGAACGAGUGUGAGAAUGGAAAGUUCAUACUGUGACGGUACUUAACCAGAAAGGGACGGCUGACUACGUGCCAGCAGCCGCGGUAAUACGUAGGUCCCGAGCGUUGUCCGGAUUUAUUGGGCGUAAAGCGAGCGCAGGCGGUUGGAUAAGUCUGAAGUUAAAGGCAGUGGCUCAACCAUUGUAGGCUUUGGAAACUGUUUAACUUGAGUGCAGAAGGGGAGAGUGGAAUUCCAUGUGUAGCGGUGAAAUGCGUAGAUAUAUGGAGGAACACCGGUGGCGAAAGCGGCUCUCUGGUCUGUAACUGACGCUGAGGCUCGAAAGCGUGGGGAGCGAACAGG
rnacentral:rRNA from 1 species